GGGUGAAGCAUUAUGUUAGGAACCAUUCAUUGACACCAGGGGUACUCGAUAGCCGAUUGGAUUUGGAAGAUGUAAUUACUGUUAGUCAUAUGCUUACAGUUCUUAAAAUUGCUCUAAUGUGCACUAGCAUGUCCCCGUAUGAUCGUCCUUCAAUGCGCGAGGUUGUUCUGAUGCUGAUUGAGUCUGAUGAGCAAGAAGGGAACUUUAUC
rnacentral:misc_RNA from 1 species